rnacentral:lncRNA from 1 species
GCGGCUUCCACGGCUCCAUUUAUCUAUGGACGAUAUGCGGUCGAGUUGUGAUGAACGAUUUUGAAUUGAUCAUAAAUUUUAUUCAUCAAGUGACUGUUCAAGUUUGCUUCAUUAUCAGUAAUGAUCGAUUUCGGCACUCCAAAUCAGCAAAUCAAGUUAUUCUAGAUGAAAUCUGAAACCACUUUCUUUGUGACGGAUCUAUAUGAAACAUCUUUGACCCAUGUAGUAAAGUAAUCGAUAGCAACCAAACUAAAUCUAUGCCUACUUGACAAUGGUGGUUCUAUUGGUCCGAUAACAUCCAUACCCCAA